UCGGACGUGGUGCACGGUGCACGCUCGCGUACUGUUACUGAUUUCCAUGCCUAGAAGCGGGAGCCUGGGUUCGAUUCCCAGCGUCCGAA